AAAGGACACCUCCAAAACAGCAAAGUGCCAUUUAAAGUGAAAAUGCCCAUAGAAUUAUAGUACAUAAUGC